rnacentral:rRNA from 1 species
AUGGUGUAUUACAUCAUGCUCUACUCCAUGGGGCGGAUCGAGUACAAUUGGGCCCCCGACACCGCUAGCUUCCGGCCUGAGCGGUGGACCAACGAUAACGACAGGUUCCGCAGCAAGUUCAUGGCGUUCCACAGUGCUGCGGCUCUUCCUAGGCAAGGACCUGGCGUACCUGGAGAUGAAGAUGGUGCUGGGCAUCUUGUGCAGUUGGUGACCAUCCUCUCGGUGGCGCAUGGCCUGAAGGUCCGCAUCUUCAGGUUACAUUUGUUUGGUGGAGAAGAUGAAGAUAAAGAGAGCCAGUUGGUGGGGGAGUUAACUGGGGAGAUGGAUUUUUUUUUGACGUGA